AUGAGUAACGCGUAAGAAUCUAGCUCCAGGCUCGGGACAACAGCCGGAAACGAAUGCUAAUACCGGAUGUGCCAACGGUGAAAGAUUAUCACCUGGAGAUGAGCUUGCGUCUGAUUAGCUAGAUGGUGGGGUAAAAGCCUACCAUGGCGACAAUCAGUAACUGGUCUGAGAGGAUGACCAGUCACACUGGCACUGAGACACUGGCCAGACACCUACGGGUGAGCUGCAGACGAGAAUCUUCGGCAAUGGACGCAAGUCUGACCGAGCGACGCCGCGUGCGGGAUGAAGGCCUUCGGG
rnacentral:rRNA from 1 species